CCGAGUUUACAACUCCCAAACCCCUGUGAACAUACCUUAUGUUGCCUCGGCGGAUCAGCCCGCGCCCGUAAAACGGGACGGCCCGCCAGAGGAACCCCUAAACUCUGUUUCUUAGUGGAACCUCUGAGUAUAAAACCAUAAUAAAUCA
rnacentral:misc_RNA from 1 species